rnacentral:rRNA from 1 species
UACGAAGGGGGCUAGCGUUGCUCGGAAUCACUGGGCGUAAAGCGCACGUAGGCGGAUUGCUAAGUCAGGGGUGAAAUCCUGGAGCUCAACUCCAGAACAUGCCUUUGAUACUGGCGGGCUUGAGUCCGGGAGAGGUGAGUGGAACUGCGAGUGUAGAGGUGAAAUUCGUAGAUAUUCGCAAGAACACCAGUGGCGAAGGCGGCUCACUGGCCCGGUACUGACGCUGAGGUGGCGAAAGCGUGGGGAGCAAACAGG